rnacentral:rRNA from 1 species
AGCAGAGAUUAAACUGAAGAGUUUGAUCCUGGCUCAGAUUGAACGCUGGCGGCAUGCCUUACACAUGCAAGUCGAACGGCAGCGCGGGCUUCG